UGGCCUGUCAUCUAAUAGGCAAGAAGCGCGGCUUUGAACCGCGAAAUCCAGGUGCGAAUCCUGGCGGGCCAACCA
rnacentral:tRNA from 1 species